rnacentral:rRNA from 1 species
CCUACGGGAGGCAGCAGUGGGGAAUAUUGCACAAUGGGGGAAACCCUGAUGCAGCGACGCCGCGUGAGUGAAGAAGUAUUUCGGUACGUAAAGCUCUAUCAGCAGGGAAGAAAAUGACGGUACCUGACUAAGAAGCCCCGGCUAACUACGUGCCAGCAGCCGCGGUAAUACGUAGGGGGCAAGCGUUAUCCGGAUUUACUGGGUGUAAAGGGAGCGUAGACGGCAGCGCAAGUCUGGAGUGAAAUCCCAUGGCUUAACCAUGGAACUGCUUUGGAAACUGUGCAGCUAGAGUGCAGGAGAGGUAAGCGGAAUUCCGAGUGUAGCGGUGAAAUGCGUAGAUAUUAGGAGGAACACCAGGGGCGAAGGCGGCUUACUGGACUGUAACUGACGUUGAGGCUCGAAAGCGUGGGGAGCAAACAGGAUUAGAUACCCCGGUAGUC